rnacentral:rRNA from 1 species
CCUACGGGAGGCAGCAGUGAGGAAUAUUGGUCAAUGGGCGAGAGCCUGAACCAGCCAAGUCGCGUGAGGGAAGACGGUCCUAUGGAUUGUAAACAUCUUUUGUCGGGGAGCAAAAAGGCCUCGUGAGGCCACAAGUGAGAGUACCCGAAGAAAAAGCAUCGGCAAACUCCGUGCCAGCAGCCGCGGUAAUACGGAGGAGGCGAGCGUUAACCGGAUUUAUUGGGUUUAAAGGGUGCGUAGGCGGACUGGAAAGGCAGCGGUAAAAUCGAGCGGCUCAAACGCUUGCCGCCGUUGAAACUGUCUGUCUUGAGUGGGCGAGAGGUAUGUGGAAUGCGUGGUGUAGCGGUGAAAUGCAUAGAUAUC